rnacentral:tRNA from 1 species
CAUAGAGUAGUUUAGUUUAGAACUCUAGCUUUGGGAGUUAGGGGGGGGGGAGUUAAAAUCUCCCCUCUUUGA